GGCAGGGUGUUUGGCGCCGCUGUCCGACUGAAAAUCGGAAGGUCGGCGGUUCGACCCCGCCCCUGGCCACAA
rnacentral:tRNA from 1 species